rnacentral:rRNA from 1 species
UACGUAGGUGGCAAGCGUUAUCCGGAAUUAUUGGGCGUAAAGAGCGCGCAGGUGGUUGAUUAAGUCUGAUGUGAAAGCCCACGGCUUAACCGUGGAGGGUCAUUGGAAACUGGUCGACUUGAGUGCAGAAGAGGGAAGUGGAAUUCCAUGUGUAGCGGCGAAAUGCGUAGAGAUAUGGAGGAACACCAGUGGCGAAGGCGGCGUCCUGGUCUGUAACUGACACUGAGGCGCGAAAGCGUGGGGAGCAAACAGGAUUAGAUAU